UGCCCUACCUCGGGGUGCUCGUUCGACGGGCUGAGAUGCGGACCUUCCGCGAACCCGCAAAACCUGAUCCGGCUAGCACCGGCGGAGGGAAGGUAGGUCGGCGCAAG
rnacentral:ncRNA from 1 species